CACGUAGGGUUCGAGCGUUGUCCGGAAUUAUUGGGCGUAAAGAGCUCGUAGGCGGUGUGUCGCGUCGGCCGUGAAAACCUGCAGCUUAACUGUGGGCUUGCGGUCGAUACGGGCAUCACUGGAGUUCGGCAGGGGAGACUGGAAUUCCUGGUGUAGCGGUGAAAUGCGCAGAUAUCAGGAGGAACACCGGUGGCGAAGGCGGGUCUCUGGGCAUUACCUGACGCUGAGGAGCGAAAGUGUGGGGGGCGAACAGG
rnacentral:rRNA from 1 species